rnacentral:rRNA from 1 species
CCUACGGGUGGCAGCAGUGAGGAAUAUUGGUCAAUGGACGCAAGUCUGAACCAGCCAUGCCGCGUGCAGGAAGACGGCUCUAUGAGUUGUAAACUGCUUUUGUACGAGGGUAAAUCUCGAUACGUGUAUCGGGCUGAAAGUACUGUACGAAUAAGGAUCGGCUAACUCCGUGCCAGCAGCCGCGGUAAUACGGAGGAUCCAAGCGUUAUCCGGAUUUAUUGGGUUUAAAGGGUGCGUAGGCGGUUCGAUAAGUUAGAGGCGAAAUCCCGGGGCUUAACUCCGGCACUGCCUCUAAUACUGUCGAGCUAGAGUGUAGUUGCGGUAGGCGGAAUGUAUGGUGUAGCGGUGAAAUGCAUAGAGAUCAUACAGAACACCGAUUGCGAAGGCAGCUUACCAAACUACGACUGACGUUGAGGCACGAAAGCGUGGGGAGCAAACAGGAUUAGAUACCCGGGUAGUC